AGGCAAUUUAUUUAUUUUCGGCAUAGAAAAUAAACCAAAAAUAAUAUGUAUUCAUAUUUAUGUUGUUCACUAAACCAUCAAUAUAAUUCGAUUUUUGCCAUAAGCAACAGCAAAAUACAAUUUUCGUUUUGUGCAAGAGCGCGCGAGCGAGACAACUAUAGAAUUGCUGGUGCUCUCUGGAAAAUGACCGCAAAGCGGUCUGGAAAUCGUAUCAUCCUGCAACGCCCAAAUCAAAAGGGAAUAUUUGUGUGUAUGUGUGUAUGUUGGCACACACGCGCACACAAACAGUAUUAACACUUUGGCGGCGUCUUCGUCACCGGCAUGCCGUGAAAAAAUCGAUUAAUGCGUUUCGGCUGCGCUGAUUUAAUAAAAAACACAGUUUGGGCCCGUUUAGCUGUCGCUCGAAUUGUUAUGGCUUAUUUGGGAAAAUCACAGCGCGACGUGCGUGCGUUUCGCUUCGGCUUCGUUUCUGAAUGACAAUGUGACCAGAUGUAUUAACUCCAAAAUGCAUUAAAAAUGCCACCAAUCAAUCGAUAAGCAAAACUAUCGUAGUGCCUGCGAUUGUAAGGAUUUUAUAUUUUGCUAAUAGUGUACUAAUUUAAACGAAAAAGCAAAUAUAAAAAAACACAAUUUUAUAUACUGCGCAUAAGCAGACUCCUCUAAAACUUAA